rnacentral:rRNA from 1 species
GACGAACGCUGGCGGCGUGCCUAAUACAUGCAAGUCGAGCGAAGUUUUUCUGGUGCUUGCACUAGUACAACUUAGCGGCGAACGGGUGCGUAACACGUACAGAACCUGCCUCAUAGACUGGGACAACUAUUGGAAACGCUAGCUAAUACCGCAUAACAGUAUUUCUCGCCUGCGCGAUAUUUAUAUGUUGGUUAUGGUAACACUAUGAGAUGGCUUUGCGGUGAAUUAGCUAGUUGGUGGGGUAAAGGCACACCAAGGCGACGAUGCGUAGACGACCUGAGAGGAGGACCGGACACACUGGGACUGAGACACGGCCCAGACUCCUACGGGAGGCAGGAGUAGGGAAUCUUACGCAAUGGGCGAAAGCCUGACGGGACAACGCCGCGUGAGGUAAAAAGUAUUGCGGUUCGUAAAGCUCUGCUGUUAGGGAAGAAUGGAUAUGUAGUAACUAUACAUGUAAGAGACGGUACCUAACCAGAAAGCCACGGCUAACUCCGUG